rnacentral:rRNA from 1 species
GACAGAGGUGCCGAGCGUUAGGCGGAAUCACUGGGCUUAAAGCGUGUGUAGGCGGAUCGUUAAGUGCCUUGUGAAAUCCCACGGCUUAACUGUGGAACGGCUGGGCAUACUGGCGGUCUUGAGCCAUCUAGGGGCGACUGGAACAAACGGUGGAGCGGUGAAAUGCGUAGAUAUCGUUUGGAACGCCAAUGGUGAAAACAGGUCGCUGGGGAUGAGCUGACGCUGAGACACGAAAGCCAGGGGAGCAAACGGG